rnacentral:rRNA from 1 species
CCUUAUCCACGUAGGCGAGGGCUUUACUACAUAGUUGCAACUCUGAAAUGAGUGAACAAUGAACCUUCCUUUCUCAGUUGAGGCAUGUGAAACUUCCCUCCUUCCUGGUCAAGAGCCUACCUGUUUAUACAUAGCAAGUGAUAUUUCAAAUGACCAAUAUCGAGUCAAAGUGAUUGAAAUGUGGGCAGGAGGUGGUUGGCGAUUUCCGCCUGGGAGCUGGUCGGAGGACGACAGUCGAAGGCUUGUUGUCCCUGGUCCCUAACCCCAACGGAAGGGCGAAAGGUUGUUUCUGGAAUGAUCGAAGCUAACCCAGCCAAGUAGUAUCCAUCGUUGGAGUAAUUGAGUAGAGUAAUAUGGCCUGAAUCUGUUGGGAGAAAAGGAUCUUUGACCUCCAGUUCGAUCAUUCUAUUUUUUAUUGAGACCGAUCUUUCAUAUACGAUCUCCUUACUUAUGAUAGCCAGAUGCGAGCUCAGAUCCUUCACUUUUCAGCAAGGUCAAUCUUUCAUGAAAUAAGGGCUUAGGAGGCCCUUUCAAGGCCUUAUUCUCGAACGAAGGAAGGAUUCACCUUAAAAUAGGACCUUUAAAGGCCUUACAGUAUUCACCCCAAACGUGACUUUAAAUGCCUUACUAGGAGCCAUGCCUUAUGUAAGUAUUCCACGCCUCCUUUUCUUGAUGGGCUAAAGUAUGGAAUAUAAGGAGAUGGUUUUCCUAACAGUAACCUCCGCUAACUCACCCCCACCUUGCCAAGCCUUAGCCUUAGUGUAACGAAGUAUACUUACUUAUUUCCUUGGCCAAACCAGCCAGCAGACAUUUCUCCGUAUCAAAUUUGAGGAUCUUUAGAUUAAAGACCAACGGGCCGCCAUCGAAGAAAAUAGGCUAGCACGUGAAAGGGCCUUACCAUGCCUGCUAUUUUUCACCCAUAUUCUCCUAACGAAUUUUCUUGAUUCACUGAAGCGACAAGACCUUGGAAGCGUUAAGAAGGCUCUAAAGACCCAAGGUUCUUUAUUGCUCACCCGAAGAAUGAGGGUGAGGAGAGCGUUUAGCUCAUCUCUACCAAAGGGUGUUAACGCUCACUCAUCAUAUGGGUGAGGGAGAGGAGGGUGAGUAAGCGGGGCGCCAACCAAGUGUCAGUAGCAGGACGUUCUGUCAAUCGGGGAAGGGACAACACCUAGAGAUAUCAAAAGUGAGAAUGUUGACAUGAGUAACAAUGAAUCAUGUGAAAAACACAAUCGCCUGCCAGUUCCAAGGUUUCUGCGUUCAGUCAAUCUACGCAGAGUGAAUCAGUCCCUAAGGAACCCCUGAAAGGGAUUUCGUCUGAUGGGUACACGAAAGUGGCGAAGUUGCCCCGACUACUGAACCAUGCGUGUCUAUUGAAGUGAAUUGGAUGAGAGUUUGAUUUUCCUGCCAACCAAAUUGAAUGAAUGUAAAAGUGCACUUUUGUUAGGGUUUCAACUUCCAGGAAAAAACUUCGAAUUGUGAGGGCGAUCCUCCCGGUGAACUAACCGUACCCCAAACCGACACGGGUGAACAAGUAGAGUAUACUAGGGUGCUUGAGAGAACCAUGUUGAAGGAAAUCGGAAAAAUGACCCCGUAACUUCGGGAUAAGGGGUGCUCUCCCUCCUAUCUUUGGGUUGGGAAAGCGACACAUACCAGGGGGUAGCGACUGUUUAUUAAAAACACAGGACUCUACCAAGUGGUAACACGAUGUAUAGAAUUUGACACCUUCCCGGUGCUGGAAGGUUGGAAGGAGAAGUGUGAUAAUAUUCGAAUGGAAGCCUCGGUAAAUGGCGACAGUAACUCUAACUGUCCUAAGGUAGUGAAAUUCCUUGUCGCAUAAGUAGCGACCUACACGAAUGGUGUAACGACUGCCCUGCUGUCUCCGACAUGGACCUAGUGAAAUUGAAUUCUCUGUGAAGAUGCGAGUACCAACGGCUAGAUGGUAAGACCCCGUGCAGCUUGACUAUAGCUUCGCAGUGACAACCUCUUACGAAUGUGUGGGAUAGGUGGGAGGUGGGGAACUCUCAAUCCUGGAAUACCAUUCUUUCGUCUAAGGAUGCCUAACCACUUCUUUCUCUAUAUUGAUUCUCAGGGCGGGACACUGCAAGGUGGGUAGUUUAUCUGGGGUGGAUGCCUCCUAAAGAGUAACGGAGGUGUGCGAAGGUAGGCGCUUUCUAUAAACAAGCAUAAUGGUCUAAGCCUGCCUGACUAUGAGACUCACUGGUCGAACAGAGACGAAAGUCAGCCAUAGUGAUCCAGGAGUCCUGUGUGGAAGGGAUCUUGCCCAAUGGAUCAAAGGUACGCCGGGGAUAAUAGGAUGAUGACUCCCAAGAUCUCUUAUUGACGGAGUCGUUUGGCACCUCUAUGUCGAAUCAUCACAUCCUGGGGUUGAAGAAGGUCCCAAGGGUUCGGUUGUUCGCCGAUGAAAGUGGUACGUGAGUUGGGUUUAGAACAUCGUGAGACAGUUUGGUUCCUAUCUACCACUGGUGUUGAAGGGAGAAAUGCGAGGAGCCAACCCUAGUACAAGAGGACUGGGUUGGGCCAACCUAUGGUGUACCGGUUGUCACGCCUAGUAGCGUCGGGCAGCCAAGUUGGUAUGGAAGAACUGCUGAAAGCAUCUAAGCGGGAAAUCCUUCUGUAGACAAGUUCUUGUAUGAGGUGAAAGAACAUCACUUUGAUAGGCGAUAGGUGUAAGCACCAUGAGGUGUGAAGCGAUAUCGUACUAAUAUUUUUACUUAGUCCA